rnacentral:rRNA from 1 species
GGGAAAAGCUCAAAUUUAAAAUCUGGUGGCCCUUCCGCCAUCCGAGUUGUAAUUUGUAGAGGAUGCCUUCGGGUUUGGCCCUGGCCUAAGUUCCUUGGAACAGGACGUCACAGAGGGUGAGAAUCCCGUAUGUGGCUGGUGGUCUAUACCCAUGUGAAGCUCCUUCGAC